UACGUAGGGUGCGAGCGUUAAUCGGAAUUACUGGGCGUAAAGCGUGCGCAGGCGGCUUUUGCAAGACAGAUGUGAAAUCCCCGGGCGUCAACCUGGGAACGUAGCAUUUGUUGACUGCAAGGCUAGAGUACGGCAGAGGGGGAGUGGAAUUCCGCGUGUAGCAGUGAAAUGCGUAGAUAUGCGGAGGAACACCGAUGGCGAAGGCAAUCCCCUGGGCCUGUACUGACGCUCAUGCACG
rnacentral:rRNA from 1 species